AGAGUUUGAUCAUGGCUCAGGACGAACGCUGGCGGCGCGCCUAAUACAUGCAAGUCGAACGGGUUGCCUUCGGGCAGCCAGUGGCGGACGGGUGAGUAACACGUGGGUGACCUGCCCCGAAGUGGGGAAUAACGCUGCGAAAGCAGCGCUAAUACCGCAUACGCUUAGCCCUUCAGUGGGUUAAGUAAAGCUUUAUGCGCUUUGGGAGGGGCCUGCGGCAGAUUAGCUAGUCGGUGGGGUAAUGGCCUACCGAGGCGACGAUCUGUAGCUGGUCUGAGAGGAUGACCAGCCACACUGGGACUGAGACACGGCCCAGACUCCUACGGGAGGCAGCAGUAAGGAAUAUUCCACAAUGGGCGAAAGCCUGAUGGAGCGACGCCGCGUGAAGGAAUAAGCCCUUUGGGGUGUAAACUUCUUUUUUGGGGGAUGAAACGGCAGGGUAACUUGCCUAAGACAGUACCCCAAGAAUAAGCAUCGGCUAACUACGUGCCAGCCGCCGCGGUAAUAC
rnacentral:rRNA from 1 species